UACGUAGGGUGCGAGCGUUAAUCGGAAUUACUGGGCGUAAAGCGUGCGCAGGCGGUGAUGUAAGACAGUUGUGAAAUCCCCGGGCUCAACCUGGGAACUGCAUCUGUGACUGCAUUGCUGGAGUGCGGCAGAGGGGGGAUGGAAUUCCGCGUGUAGCAGUGAAAUGCGUAGAUAUGCGGAGGAACACCGAUGGCGAAGGCAAUCCCCUGGGCCUGCACUGACUCCAUGCACGAAAGCGUGGGGAGCAAACA
rnacentral:rRNA from 1 species